rnacentral:rRNA from 1 species
AAAAAGCUCGUAGUUGGAUCUCAGAAGGACUUCAGUUGGUCGGCCUAACUGGUCAGAACCGGCUGUCUCUUUCUUGUUUCUGAAUCCCGCCUGAUGUUCAUUCAUCAGGUGUGGACUUCAGAUCGUUUACCUUGAAAAAAUUAGAGUGUUCAAAGCGGGCGUUUGCUUGAAUAUAUUAGCAUGGAAUAAUGGAAUAGGACCCUGGUCUUAUUUUGUUGGUUUUGAGGACUAGAGUAAUGAUUAAUAGGGAUAGUUGGGGGCAUUCAUAUUUAAUUGUCAGAGGUGAAAUUCUUGGAUUUAUGAAAGAUGAACUUCUGCGAAAGCAUUUGCCAAGGAUGUUUUCAUUAAUCAAGAACGAAAGUUAGGGGAUCGAAGACGAUCAGAUACCGUCGUAGUCUUAACCAUAAACUAUGCCGACUAGGGAUUGGGAGCGGUUUGUUCAUUGACCCUCUCAGCACCUUACGAGAAAUCAAAGUUUUUGGGUUCCGGGGGGAGUAUGGUCGCAAGGCUGAAACUUAAAGGAAUUGACGGAGGGGCACCACCAGGAGUGGAGCCUGCGGCUUAAUUUGACUCAACACGGGAAAACUUACCAGGUCCAGACAUAGGAAGGAUUGACAGAUUGAGAGCUCUUUCUUGAUUCUAUGGGUGGUGGUGC